rnacentral:rRNA from 1 species
ACGCUCGACACCUACGGGAGGAGCAGUGGGGAAUAUUGCACAAUGGGGGAAACCCUGAUGCAGCAACGCCGCGUGAAGGAAGACGGUUUUCGGAUUGUAAACUUCUGUUCUUAGUGAAGAUAGUGACGGUAGCUAAGGAGCAAGCCACGGCUAACUACGUGCCAACAGCCGCGGUAAUCUGAGCGGGCUGGCAAGGC